rnacentral:lncRNA from 1 species
GGUAACCCAAACUAGGAUCACCUUUCACACUAGGGCAUGUUUCAAAAGAUUUUAGACAAUCGACGAAAUUUUCCAAGCAAAAAGAAAUAUACAAAGAAAAUGGGAAUAAAUGUGCAACAAAAAAGAGCUAGCAAAUAAUAAAAUAAAAAAUGAAAAAAAUAAAAAAAAGUAAGAGAAAGAUGAAAAACAAAAGUCUCUCCA